rnacentral:tRNA from 1 species
GUUUUAAUAGUUUAAUUUAAAAUAUUAAAUUGCAAAUUUAAAGAUAUUAUAGAGAUAUAUUUUAAGAUU